rnacentral:tRNA from 1 species
GGGGCCGUGAGGUAACCUGGUAUCCUGCAAGCUUGGGGUGCUUGUUAUCUGAGUUCAAAUCUUCAAAAUUAAUCUCAGCGGCCCCA